AUACGAAGGAGGCAAGCGUUGUUCGGAAUAACUGGGCGUAAAGCGCACGUAGGCGGAAUGUUAAGUUAGAGGUGAAAUCCCAGGGCUCAACCCUGGAACUGCCUUUAAUACUGGCAAUCUAGAGACCGAGAGAGGUGAGUGGAAUUCCGAGUGUAGAGGUGAAAUUCGUAGAUAUUCGGAGGAACACCAGUGGCGAAGGCGGCUCACUGGCUCGGUACUGACGCUGAGGUGCGAAAGCGUGGGGAGCAAACAGGAUUAGAUACCCUAGUAGUCC
rnacentral:rRNA from 1 species